rnacentral:rRNA from 1 species
GGAGGGGGGCAAGCGUUGUUCGGGAAUUACUGGGGCGUAAAGGGCGCGUAGGCGGACGAUCAAGUCAGAGGUGAAAGCCCUGGGGCUCAACCUGGGGAACUGCCUUUGAAACUGAUAGUCUAGAGUCCGAGAGAGGAUGGCGGAAUUCCCAGUGUAGAGGUGAAAUUCGUAGAUAUUGGGAAGAACACCAGUGGCGAAGGCGGCCAUCUGGCUCGGUACUGACGCUGAGGCGCGAAAGCGUGGGGAGCAAACAGGAUUAGAUACCCUGGUAGUCCACGCCGUAAACGAUGUGUGCUAGCCGUUGAGGAACCUAGUUUCUCAGUGGCGCAGCUAACGCAUUAAGCACACCGCCUGGGGAGUACGGUCGCAAGAUUA